rnacentral:rRNA from 1 species
CGGUGCGAUCAUACCAGCACUAAUGCACCGGAUCCCAUCAGAACUCCGAAGUUAAACGUUCUUAGGCUAGAGUAGUACUAAGAUGGGUGACCUUUUGGGAAGUCCUCGUGUUGCACCCU